AAUGUAACCAAUGCAAGCAACUUGUCACAGACAAGAGCUCGUAAAGUUCCCCAUCAAUGGCCCCCUCCUCUCCAAACCCUAAUCCCUCUUCCCCCCUCAAUAUUCACCUCCCCUGAAUUCAACCCCAAACCCAUCUCAUUCCUUGCUUUUUUCACCAUAAUCCACCAAAUACUCUGUUUUUCUCUCCCAUAUAUAUAUAAACUUGCAUGCACAAUUGUCUAUGCAUAGACGAUUCAAUUUCUUGAUUUGAGAUGUGAUUUUGUGCGCUCUGUAAUGGCUCGAGAAGGGUUCAUUGUGCCUGUGGAGACUCAAGCUUCUCUGAAGAAGAAAACUGCUGUUUCAUGGAGAUGGAUGUUGCUAGACCACACUGGGCAAGGCACGAUUUUGGAUUUGGACAAGUAUGAGAUCAUGCAACGCGUACCUAUUCAUGCCAGAGACCUUCGAAUUCUCGAUCCUCUUCUUUCUUAUCCUUCCAUCAUUCUCGGCCGAGAAAGAGCCAUCGUUCUCAAUUUGGAGCACAUCAAAGCAAUCGUCACGAGUGAAGAGGUAUUGCUUCGAGACCCCCUAGAUGAUAAUGUAAUCCCUGUUGUGGAAGAACUACAAAGAAGAUUGCCUCCGGUGAUUGCUAUCAGUCAAGACCAAGGAGAGGAUGAAGAGCAGCAGGGGGCAAAAGACGAUGUUGAACCCGAAUUCCCAUUUGAAUUCCGGGCUCUAGAGGUAGCUCUAGAAGGCAUUUGUAGUUUUCUUGACGCACGUACAGGAGAAUUGGAGACAGCUGCAUACCCAGCUUUAGAUGAGCUGACCUCAAAGAUUAGCAGCCGUAAUUUGGAUCGGGUGCGUAAAUUGAAGAGUGCAAUGACAAGGCUGACUAGUCGGGUUCAGAAAGUAAGGGAUGAACUUGAACAACUUCUCGACGACGAUGAUGACAUGGCAGACCUUUACUUAUCAAGGAAAAUGGCCGGUGCUGCUUCCCCUUUGAGUGGUUUUGGCAAUCCUAUUUGGUUCCCUGCAUCUCCUACUAUAAACUCAAAGAUAUCCCGAACAAGCAGGGCAAGUUUGGCAGCUAGCCAUGUGGAAAAUGAUGUAGACGAACUUGAAAUGUUGCUCGAGGCAUAUUUUAUGCAAAUUGAAGGUACCUUGAACAAACUGACCACGAAUAUUGAUGCGUAUAUUGAAAAUUCUUUUCGUUCUAGUUGCGUGAAUACAUUGAUGACACGGAGGAUUACAUCAAUAUCCAGCUGGAGCUCUUCCUAAGUUCUGGGACUGUCUGUGUGUCGAUAUAUUCUUUGGUGGCUGCUAUAUUUGGCAUGAAUAUCCCUUAUACAUGGAAGGAAGGCCAUGGCUACAUGUUUAAAUGGGUGGUCAUCCUCACGGGAAUUCUCUGUGGAUCCAUUUUCUUGUCAAUAAUGACCUAUGCUAGGCACAAAGGUCUUGUCGGCUCUUGAUUUCAUGGAAUUAGUUUGGAGGAAGAUCCAUGAUAAAAGCUCUGAUUACAAGAAAAGCUGGUACAUUUCUCUCUCUCUCUGGAUUUCAUGCUUGGAGUAUGUAUGAAGCAGCGAUGAUUGCUUGAAGCCUCGGUUGGCUUUAGAAGAUGGUGAAUGACUUGAUUGGUAAAACCAAUUCAGAUGUCAAGACGUUUUGAACUAAUAAAAUGUUUGUAUGUAUUGAGCAU